CUAGUAAGUUUGGACAUUCAGAUCUACUUGGUCUUUUAUUAUCACACUCCUAGUGUGCCUUAGACUUAUAUUGUGAAGGUCCCUUUCUAAAACUUUAGAUGUAGGAGGAUGUAAGUGGUAUUGUAUAAGAUCAGACUGGAUAAGAACAGAUAUCUGUAAACAUACUUUUUAGAUUAAAUCUCUGAUUGCCACUUGUUUUCUUAUUUAACUUAUAAAAAUAAAACACAUUAGCUGGAGGAUGGGAGUAGGAAGGAGAUUUAUGUCUUUUAAUUGCAUGUCUUUGUUUCAUAUCAAGACAGAACAUACAGUAUCCCUGGCUUUGGACCUGCAGAAGGAAACACAUUUUUCUACCUGCUGUAUGCCAGACGUUCCUGAACACCUGCAGGGUUUAUUGCAGCACAGAUUGCUAGGCCCUACUCCAGAGUUUCUGAUUCAUCAGGUCUAAGGUGGAGCCUGAGAAUAUGCAUUUAUAAAAAGUUCUCCGGUGAUGCUGGUGGUGCUGGUCCAGAGACUACAUUUUUGAGGACCAUUCUUGUAUACUAACUGUAAAUUGUAGAACUCUAGAAGAAAGCUUACUUGGGUCUGGGAUAAGAAGCACACAGGUUAUGGAGCAAAUCAUGAAAGAUUCAACCCUUGAUCCCAGCCUAGUGUGGAAUUCAGAUAACACGCAAUACCCAGUGACAUAACACAAUUCUUGGUUUUCACAAUUGCUGCAAGUCAUAGUCUAGUAUCUAGUGAGAAAUUCAGUUUCAUUUGCAAGGUUUGGAGAGGCCAGGUGAUUCUAGUCAAAUAGGAUUUAGUGAUUAACCCCUUGAGAGUAGGAGUUGUUUAUGUCCUUUUUCUCUCCCCCAUCACUUAGCAUUUAGCCUUACUUUAGAAGGGCCUUGUAAUUUUUUUUUAAACUGGUAAAGAGGUUUGAGUGCUUAUUAAAUUGAAAAAUGUGUGUUUUUAAAGAUAUUAGACAUGUUUCUUGUUAAAAAAAAAACUUAACAAUAAUGUAGGAGAAUAAAAUAAUCUUUUUCCAAAAAAGAGAAAUCAUUGUGAUUAUUUUAUCUUAUUGGAAUGUUGGAUAAUAUAGUCUUCUGCCUUAAUCAUUGAGCAUGCUAUGGGUUUUCCAUUUUUAUAGGAUUUGUACCUCAAUUGAGGUAAUACUGGUAAUUCUUGUGCUCCAUUCAAAGAUGAAUAAUAAAGGCCAAAAUCAAAGACCUGGCAUAGAAGCUGUAUAAUGAAGACAGCUCUGAAAGAACACAUAUAUACACAAUAGACAAACACAUAUAUAUAAAGUACACGCAGAUUUUUUUUUUAAGUUUUAAAGUUUUUAAAGUGAAAGCCAGCCCUGCCCCUUUCCUGGAGUGGGCGGGGAGAGCGGUUGCCUGUGCAGCUUUACUUGUGAAACCACAGGUCCCUCUGGCCACGCUGCCACCUGGCCGUGCCUCCUUUCCCUUUUUUUUCCCUUUCCCUCCUUUCUCGUCGACCAAUGGGCUUGGAGCAUUGAAGCCGUGCCCUUAUCCUGCAUUCUAGUGAGGCCCUGGUUAUGCCUCCUCUGGCUCAGUUGCACAACUGGUGGUAGCUGGCUAGAAGUGUUUAGCAGUGGUUGCCAGGAUUACACUGAUGUGGUCCCAACCCCACCUCCCUCCCUGCCCUGUGGUAUCGGAAGAAACUAACACAGGGAAUUGGACACAGCCAAGAAAAAAACGGUAAAAUGAAGCCAACUGGUCAAGGCCAAGAAAAAAAGGUAAAAUGCACGGGGUUGUGGCUACCUGACCCAGCCCUAAGCCCCCUUCGACAGCAGGACCACUGCCAGAGUCCGUGCCACUCCUGAGGCAUACCAGGCUGGGCCUCUGGGCUUCCCCAACCAAAGUCUUGUCAGCCAGCCCUGCCCCCUCAGCAGCCCAGUCCCCACCCUCACUGGUCACCCCUGGGUGACUUUGGGCCAAUGACUCCCAGGGCCCUCCACUCCAGAUUUGGUCCUCACCUCCUGCCACCCCAAGCCAGACCUCCCUAGGCUUUUUGAGCUCAUGUCUCCAAGCACCCCCUCUACCGUUCAGAGUGAUGUGGCCCCCCCAACAGGGAGGAGUUGUUGGGAGAAAAGCUGAGGGUUGGGAGAGAAGCUGAGGCAGGGCUUGCACGUCUGACAUAAUGCAAAAGAGUCUUGGAACAUGUCUGGGGUCCAGAGUAUAAAACCCCUCAUGACCUUUGGAACACCAAUCUCCAUGCUAAAGGGUGGAAGUCUGCCCUGCCACACCACAAUCUAAGUCCAGGGCAUAAAACCCCUCAUGGCUUGGAUGGAAUCCAGGGCUCAGGGCAUAAAACCCCUCGUGGCCUCUGGAAUGUGUCUAGACUUGCUGGCUUCUUGGUUCUAGCAAUCCCAGGUUCAUAAAACGAUUGUAUCUUAAACUAGAAGAACAUGUUUCCCAUUAUCUCAAGUAGCAUAACAUGUUCCAUAUACUGCAAAGAAAAUGCUAAACCGUCACAGCUGUAGCUCAUUCACCUGAUGCACUGCUUUCUCUCAACCCUCAUAUCCUCACUACCUGCUUCUUUGUUGGAUUACCAAUAAAUGGCAUAGGGUCCCAGAGCUCGGGGCCUUCACAGCCUCCAUACUAGCGUUGGCCCCCUGGUCCCACUUUAUGCCUUAACUUGUCUUUUCUCAUUCCUUUGACUCCGCCGGACUUUGUAGGCCCCAUGGCCUGGUGUUGGGUCUGAUCACCCCAACAAGGAGUGGAAUGUAGUGAGUCACAGUCCCCCUGAGAACUGUCAUUAUUGCCACAAGACUGGCCUUUGAUCUUAGGACCCAGUCCCCUAAGUGUUCUCACCCCCUUUCUGGUUCCUCUGGUUGCAGCACAAAUUUCCAACUGGAAGGGGAAUGGGAACUAUGGAACCUGGGAGCAAGAGGUUUCAGGUUGCCUUACUCCCUUAAUUUAGACACUGAUAGUGUGAAAAGCCUACACUCCCCGCCGCACCCCCACCUCUGCCCCGACCUGUGAGCAAACAUUGACAGUUGUCAAUGGGAGAAUGGGAUUCGUUGGUUUCCUUCCAGGCUUCUACUCUUAAGAGAGACUUUAGCAUUUUGUUUUCUGAGUUCUCUACCUCAUAUCUGAGUUCUCCAUGGUUCUCAGACCAGAGUGCCCUUCAGUCAGUGGUCUCUGGAGUGAGAUCUGCUCAUCUUCUGUGGAACAGAUCUUGGGAAACUGAACUUGACAGCUUGAAUCUUCCUCAUCUCAUGUCAACCUAGGGUACUUUGCGUGGCACAGGAUAAAUAUGGGGCAUCUUUCUGAAGCAUCAGUUUCGCUUGAUUCUCUUGAAAGAGAAAAAAUAAUAUACUUAGGGGUGACAGUCACAUAGAUUUCUAAGAGUAUACCAGACUUCUCUCUGAAAUGAGGCUUGGGUUGUCCUCUUUCUGAUAAAUUCCCAGAUUUAACAGAAAGGCUGCCUUCUGCCAUGAAGAUACAUUGAUGUAAAAGUUUAAGAGGUGCUGGUGCACUUCUUGCUCUAACAGACGUGUGAGGAUGUGUGACUCUAAACUGCACAGUGUACGGUUCCUGCCUAUUUCAUGUUUACUUUUCUACCUCUGCCUCUGGUUUUGGUCCCUGGCAGCUGCUGAUUCAUGGCAAAACCCCAGAGCUUGGAUCAGAAGACUGAGUUUAAGUUUCAUUAUUGCCUUUUUUUUGUAGUCAUCAUAUCAAUCCCUGUCUGUCACUAAGUGAUUGUGACAACACCUUGUACAGUUGUUGGUGGCAUUAAAUCUGAUGGUAUAUAAGAGUAUUUUGUAAAAACUGUAAUGUACGAUGUGACUGUAGGCGCUUGCAGUUCUCAUGAGUAUUACUGCUCUUCUUUUCCAAAGUUGAGAGAAUAUCAGCAGAGGAACAGCCCUGAUGUUUGGCAGGAGUAAAGAGGAAGAAAAAGAAAAAAAAUGGCAGUAGCACUGAGACAACCACUUCUGGUAGUUGCCACUCACCUGGGGAUGUGAGUCUUGGCUGGCCAGGCUCCUGAGGGCAGGGGGCCCAAAGGGCAGUAGAGGGUAAUUGUUAAGAUUGUGGAAGAACUGUCGGGUACUGGUUAAGAAUUCUGGGUUCGAAUCCUACCUCUCCAUCUGCUAGGGAUAUGAUUUAGGGCAAAUUGCUUGAGUUCUCUUUGGGCCUCCUUUUUCACAUCUGUAAAACAGGGGUGAUGUUGUUUUACAUAUAUUUGUGAAGUUUAAAUGAGAUUUGUUAUCGCUGUUGUUUUUAUGUUAAUCCCUAGUACGGGGCCUACUGUAAACACCCAGGACACCCAGGAAAUGGUAGUUGCUGUUUGAUUUUCCUCAUCCCCAGUCUCAAGGGGGAAACCAGGCCAGUGAGAACAGUCAUUUGCCCAUCAGGCUGUCCCUUUAGGAGUUACUGAAAGGGCCCCAGCGUGUGGUGAGGAGAGCCCCAGGCACUAGGAUUAGGAGAAGAUCUAACUUUUGAGUUCAUCUUUGCCAUCAGCUUGCUGAGUGACCACAGAAAAAUCACUUCUUCCACUGGUCCUCAGUUUCCUCCUCUGUAAGAUGAUACUGGGUAAGAUCAGUGUCUUUCGUUUUUUAGCUGGAGCCCCCUUUGUUCAAGUGAACCCUUACUCAGAAGUCUGGUUUUUAAAAUAGAGGUGGAGGUCGUCUGGAGCUCUGCCAGAUUCAUCGCCCACGUCCUGGGCCUGAGGAGAGGGGUCCAGUGAGCGUAUUAAGAGCUGCACUGGUCAGGCGACCCCACUCUGUGUGACUGCAUCGCUUAGGGGACUUUCCCAUCUAUUUGUUCCUGCCCCUGGCAAGGCAGCAGGUGGCCAUUUUGUGGGAGGAGGUCAAAACCACAGGUCAUGGUUUUGACCUCCUCCACUCUUCUUCAGCAUUUCGUUUCCCUGAACCUAUAUCUUCCUCAUUUCCUGACUUUCUUGCCUCUCUCUAAGCGACUCUUUCUCCCCCUGCCCUUGUUUUUCCCUUUUCGCCUCCUGUAGAUUCAGGACUUUGUGAAGGUGCUGCGUUCCCCACAUUGGACAAAUGGAAGGUGAGAGAGUGCUGAGACUCCUCCAUGGCUUGCUCUCUCCAGCUGUGCAUGCCCUUAGGCUUCUCUCAUUUUGGGGGAUACUUUGCCUUUGGCUUAUUUUAUUUUGCUGCCUUAACCUUCAGCCUGUUUUUGUCCGCUUCUUCACUUGCUUGAUUGAUUGGGUUUUUUUCCUUCCCCCACAUCUUUUAUCAUUUUAGAGAAGGUGUGACAUACCUUAAAGUUUAAAAACAAUUUGAGAAUAACUUUCAGAGCAGGCAUGUGGGAUUUGGGACUUUUUUUUGUUUUGAGAUGGAGUCUUGCUCUGUCACCCAGGCUGGAAUGCAGUGGCACAAUGUCAGCUUGCUGCAAUCUCUGCCUCCCGGGUUCAAGCCAUUCUCUUGCCUCAGCCUCCUGAGUAGCUGGAAUUACAGGUGCCCAUCACCAUGCCCAGCUAGUUUUUGUACUUUUAGUAGAGACAGGGUUUCACCAUGUUGGCCAGGCUGGUCUCGAACCCCUAACCUCAAAUGAUCGGCCCUCCUUGGCCUCCCAAAGUGCUGGGAUUACAGGCAUGAGCCAUCAUGCCCGGCCUGAGAUUUGGGCUUUUGAGUGCCCAGUGUGAUACUCUCAGACUAGGAGGGAUGGAGAAAAAAACCCAACCAACUUUUAGGUUUUGCCCUAAAGGCAAUCAUUAGACCACAUAGAAGUUUGUGAUUUUUUAAAAUUAAUUCACUUUGGUUUAAGAGUAGAGAAUAUAGGGUUAAGAGAAAAUGAGUUCACAUUACAGUUGGAAGGAUUGAAUCUAUUUUUUUGGAGGAACUAACUGUGAAAGAUAUGAGGUUAACCAAACAGAUAAGUGACCGAAACAUUCUGCCCCUAAUCUCUUUAAAAUCAAACGGACACUUAGCCAUAUUCAUUGGGCUCUUGAUAGCAAAGACACUUUGCUAAAUAAACAAUGGAGAGAAUAGAUGAACAAGCUAGGCUGCACACUGAGUGAGGCAGACUCCUCUGAAGGAGGAAAGAGAGAAUUUUGGAAAAUUCCAAAUGCUCAGCUGAAGGGAAGGUUGGUUCCGAAUGGACUCGAGGCCGGAGGAAGUGGCAUUUGAGGCUGGCUUGAAGAUUUAAGGUGGGUAAACAUUCAUCCAUAAGGGGAGUGGGGGAGGCAGGGGGAGUGGUGAGGUCAUGGUCAUCAUUAUGAACUCACAGAGCACCUUUCAGGAGCACAGGGAGCCUGGUGGGGGGCAGGGCAUGGGGGUACACGGGGCUAGGAGAUGACUUCCUCUGGUUGUGAUUUGGCAUUUCCUUCAUAUCUAACUUGCCUGGGGGGCUCCUGACAAGCCAGAGGAGCAGGGCACAAAUGGCACCAGAUCCUGUUGAAGAUGGGCAUGGGGAGGGGGACUAAGACAGAGCACCCUUGGCUGCUGUUAGAGAGUUGUUCAGUCAUCACACCUGUUACCCCCGCAGUCGGUCAGGUCUGUCUAGGUGCUGUAACUCACCUUGCCAGCUCAGAGGAGAUACUGAGUGGUUCUGUGGGGAGCACAGGCCUAAGGGCAUCCUGCAGCUGUGUAUUUGGCUUUUUCUCUGCCAGUGGUCCAGUGGAUUAGGGGGUCUGGAGCCUGUUUUCUAAUGCUGUGAGAUUGUGUGCCCAGCCCAGGUCUCUCUGUUCUGGAAACAGAGGCCCAGAUCCACAUAUUUCCUUCUUGCUGUUUAGUUUUAGUGUUUGUUUUUGAGGCAAGAGUCUGGCUCUUUCUCCUGGAGUGCAGUGGCGGGAUAUCGGCUCACUGCAACCUCUGCCUCCUGGGUACAAGUGAUUGUCAUGCCUCAGGCCUUCCGAGUAGCUAGGAUUACAGGCACCCACCACUGUGCCCGGCUCAUUUUUUUGUAUUUUUAGUAGAGACGGGGUUUUGCUGUGUUGCCCAGGCUGGUCUGGAACUCCUGGCCCCAAGUGAUCCACCAGCCUCGGCCUCCCAAAGUGCUGGGAUUACAUGCAUGAGCCACUGCACCUGGCUCCUUGCUGCUUUUAUACCUUCUCCAUAUCCAUAACUGUUUCCCAUGUAAGUUUUUUUUUAAAUUUCUCAUUUUUAUUACCAUGUAAAUUUUCUUUCUUUCUUUCUUUCUUUUUUUUUUGAGAUGGAGUCUCGCUCUGUCACCCAGGCUGGAGUGCAGUGGUGUGAUCUUGGCUCACUGCAACCUCUGCCUCCCAGGUUCAUGCCAUUCUCCAGCCUCAGCCUCCCAAGUAGCUGGGACUACAGGCACCCGCCACCACACCCGGAUAAUUUUUUGUAUUUUUAGUGGAGACGGGGUUUCACUGUGUUAGCCAGGAUGGUCUCGAUCUCCUGAACUUGUGAUCAGCCCGCCUCGGCCUCCCAAAGUGCUGGGACUACAGGCGUGAACCACCGUGCCCAGCCAACCAUGUAAGUUUUCUACUCCAGGAGUGUAGGUCUGUGAUUGCAGUAUCCUAAGUAGAGCUGAUAACAUUUCCAGAAGUAGGGAAUAAUGGAGAGAGAAAAAAAUCUUAAUGGGAUGGGACCAUUUGAGGAGAGUAGGCUUUAUUUUUUUUAAACUCCAUUCUUAGCUACAAGACUUAAAAUUAUCUUCCGUUCUUCCAGCCUCUACAGCACUUGCUCUAAGGAGGGAAGCAGAUUUGGGUUUUCAGAGGCCAGGACCAAAGGGUCCAGUGAGCAGGCAGUCCUUUCCCUGGAGCGAGGUGUAGCCACUUCCUCCAAACCCAGCUUCCCUGUCCAGGCCCUGGCUCCCUGGUGGUUUUCUCUUGUCAAGCUUAGCUGGUCAGCCAGCUUUUUCCACUGUCUGCCCACCUGGCCUGUUGGAUAUUAGAAGAUCUCUAGAGCCAGAUGCUUGUGCCAAGAGUAAGGCCAGAGCCUGGAGACAGGCCGGGUGGGGCUCUGGUCAAGCAAGUAGGUCCAGUUCAGGGCAAGGGAGAGGCUCCAAAUGACUCCAAGUCCUGAAUCCUAGGAUGGUCCCCAGCUUCAAGGCCACCCUUGGUCACCUUCCUUUGACUCUCCCAAGGAAACAGCACAACCAAGAAAUUGUGGAUCAACUAGAAUCACACUAGUAAUGUAAUUUCUUUGCUCACAGCAUGACUGCUGGGUUUGGGGGGCACUCAGAUGUAGAGGUGCUAGUCUCGUCUUGCUGACCCCCAGCCUGGGAAGAAGGCUCACCCCCCAGGUUCCACCUCAUCCCCACAGGGUCCCUGAUAACCUGGUCCCAUGGGUGGGCCUGUCCUGGGGCAUUGGUGGAAUUCUGGGGGCAUGUCUUUGCUGUGCCAUCUCUGCCUCCCCCUAGUAAGAGCUGUGUCUUCCUCUUCCUAUAGGAAAAGCAAGAAAGCCAGCAAAACCAGGGAACCCUAAAGAGGCAGUUAGAGGUGAGUGGAGGGUGUGAAGUUCCCUCCUGUCCUCUGGAGAAUGUUGCUUUCCUUCUCUUUCAGCACUUGCUUGGCUUUUCUCCCAAAGGUUCAAAUUCAGAGAACCAACAAACUGAUGUCUGAGAAAGGAAAAUUAAAUACUGAACUGUAUCAUAUGCAACGUGCUGCCAGGCACUUUGAAGGAGAGUCCACGGAUCUGGCCAGCGGCCUGCAGUAUUCCCAGCAGUGUGUGGGAGAGCUGGAUUGGACUCUUUGCUGUCUCCAUGCAGCAGAAGAACAUGGACAGUAUGAGUCCUACCACCUGCCCCAUCCCUUGGCAGCCCAGCUUCCCAGGUGGAGGAGUGAGGGACCUUUAGGUCCCUUCUGCAGGAUGGAGUGUCCUGCCCAGAAAGCAGCAUGGGCCAUUUCUCAUUGUUUUUGUGUGUGGUUGUUAGAGGCAGCCUGCGGCUGAGUUGGCUGCUGUGGAUGAGUUGGGGGGCGCUGUGGGGAGCAAGCAGAGCUUGAACGUGGAGCACUGGAUGCAGAGUUUAGAGGCCAAGUGCCUACCCUGCCUUCACUUGGCUGUGGCC
rnacentral:lncRNA from 1 species